rnacentral:rRNA from 1 species
GAUGAACGCUGGCGGCGUGCCUAAUACAUGCAAGUCGAGCGAACAGACGAGGAGCUUGCUCCUCUGACGUUAGCGGCGGACGGGUGAGUAACACGUGGAUAACCUACCUAUAAGACUGGGAUAACUUCGGGAAACCGGAGCUAAUACCGGAUAAUAUAUUGAACCGCAUGGUUCAAUAGUGAAAGACGGUUUUGCUGUCACUUAUAGACGGAUCCGCGCCGCAUUAGCUAGUUGGUAAGGUAACGGCUUACCAAGGCAACGAUGCGUAGCCGACCUGAGAGGGUGAUCGGCCACACUGGAACUGAGACACGGUCCAGACUCCUACGGGAGGCAGCAGUAGGGAAUCGUCCGCAAUGGGCGAAAGCCUGACGGAGCAACGCCGCGUGAGUGAUGAAGGUCUUCGGAUCGUAAAACUCUGUUAUUAGGGAAGAACACAUGUGUAAGUAACUAUGCACGUCUUGACGGUACCUAAUCAGAAAGCCACGGCUAACUACGUG